GUCGACGAACUCUGGUAUUGAUUGGUGCUUGCAUCAUGAUUUACAUUUGAGUGAGUGGCGAACUGGUGAGUAACACGUGGGAAACCUGCCCAGAAGCGGGGGAUAACACCUGGAAACAGAUGCUAAUACCGCAUAACAACUUGGACCGCAUGGUCCGAGUUUGAAAGAUGGCUUCGGCUAUCACUUUUGGAUGGUCCCGCGGCGUAUUAGCUAGAUGGUGGGGUAACGGCUCACCAUGGCAAUGAUACGUAGCCGACCUGAGAGGGUAAUCGGCCACAUUGGGACUGAGACACGGCCCAAACUCCUACGGGAGGCAGCAGUAGGGAAUCUUCCACAAUGGACGAAAGUCUGAUGGAGCAACGCCGCGUGAGUGAAGAAGGGUUUCGGCUCGUAAAACUCUGUUGUUAAAGAAGAACAUAUCUGAGAGUAACUGUUCAGGUAUUGACGGUAUUUAACCAGAAAGCCACGGCUAACUACGUGCCAGCAGCCGCGGUAAUACGUAGGUGGCAAGCGUUGUCCGGAUUUAUUGGGCGUAAAGCGAGCGCAGGCGGUUUUUUAAGUCUGAUGUGAAAGCCUUCGGCUCAACCGAAGAAGUGCAUCGGAAACUGGGAAACUUGAGUGCAGAAGAGGACAGUGGAACUCCAUGUGUAGCGGUGAAAUGCGUAGAUAUAUGGAAGAACACCAGUGGCGAAGGCGGCUGUCUGGUCUGUAACUGACGCUGAGGCUCGAAAGUAUGGGUAGCAAACAGGAUUAGAUACCCUGGUAGUCCAUACCGUAAACGAUGAAUGCUAAGUGUUGGAGGGUUUCCGCCCUUCAGUGCUGCAGCUAACGCAUUAAGCAUUCCGCCUGGGGAGUACGGCCGCAAGGCUGAAACUCAAAGGAAUUGACGGGGGCCCGCACAAGCGGUGGAGCAUGUGGUUUAAUUCGAAGCUACGCGAAGAACCUUACCAGGUCUUGACAUACUAUGCAAAUCUAAGAGAUUAGACGUUCCCUUCGGGGACAUGGAUACAGGUGGUGCAUGGUUGUCGUCAGCUCGUGUCGUGAGAUGUUGGGUUAAGUCCCGCAACGAGCGCAACCCUUAUUAUCAGUUGCCAGCAUUAAGUUGGGCACUCUGGUGAGACUGCCGGUGACAAACCGGAGGAAGGUGGGGAUGACGUCAAAUCAUCAUGCCCCUUAUGACCUGGGCUACACACGUGCUACAAUGGAUGGUACAACGAGUUGCGAACUCGCGAGAGUAAGCUAAUCUCUUAAAGCCAUUCUCAGUUCGGAUUGUAGGCUGCAACUCGCCUACAUGAAGUCGGAAUCGCUAGUAAUCGCGGAUCAGCAUGCCGCGGUGAAUACGUUCCCGGGCCUUGUACACACCGCCCGUCACACCAUGAGAGUUUGUAACACCCAAAGUCGGUGGGGUAACCUUUUAGA
rnacentral:rRNA from 2 species